CGUCAAAGAAAAUUCGUAUGUCUUCACUCGAUCACGAGAAAGGUUGAAUUGAGAAGUGAAUAACUUUGCUUUGCUUUUAGUAGCUAAAAUUUGGCCUUGACUUUAUGUUUCUUACGUAGGUAAAAGCACCGGAAUUUCCUUCUCCGCCAAGUCCCACCUUAAUCUGCCACAAUCCAAUCUAACUAUUUCCUACUUUUAUCUUAUCACUAUAAUUCAGGCUUGACAUAAAAAAAACAUAUUUCCGUAGGAAAUAUUUUUAUAUAU